UACUAGAGUAGCACUCGCAUAUCAAUAAGCGGAGGAAAAGAAACUAACAAGGAUUCCCCUAGUAACGGCGAGUGAAGCGGGAAGAGCUCAAAUUUGAAAUCUUAAAGGGUUUCCCUUUACGAAUUGUAGUUUAAAGAAGUGUUUUCUGUUGAGGUUUUGGUAAAAGUUCUUUGGAAUAGGACAUCAUAGAGGGUGAGAAUCCCGUAUUUGACCUUUACUUUCAACUUUGUGAUACACUUUCAAAGAGUCGGAUUGUUUGGGAAUGCAGUCCAAAAUGGGUGGUAAAUUUCAUCUAAAGCUAAAUAUUGGCGAGAGACCGAUAGCGAACAAGUACCGUGAGGGAAAGAUGAAAAGAACUUUGAAAAGAGAGUUAAACAGUACGUGAAAUUGUCAAAAGGGAAGCGUUUGACACCAGUGUUGUUUUUCUGAAAAUCAAUUAAAGAACUGUUUAUGCUAAGUUGUUUAGACUUUAUCAGCUAUCUGCUUAGUUUUGAGCUUUUCUUUAAUGCACUUUUCAGUUAACAAGUCAACAUCAAUUUCUUUUGCUGUAAAAAAGCUUGAGGAAGGUGGCUUGAGAUUCGUCUUAAGUGUUUAUAGCCUCUUGCCUAUGCAGUCGGAGAGAUUGAGGUCUGCAGCGUAGAUCCUUCGGGGCUAAAUGCAUUUGUGCUAAGUUAUAGCAUUUUAUAGACAACUUGUUGACUAUGAUUUGUCUUGUAGCUUACUCGCUUAUGUUAUUUUACCUACGCUUAGGAUGUUGAGUAGCGACAUACGCAC
rnacentral:rRNA from 1 species